GGUUUUGCUUUGUCAUCCUGGCCAGAGUGCAGUGGCACAAUCACAGCUCACUGCAACCUCGACCUCCUGGGCUCAAGUGAUUCUCCCACCUCAGCCUGCUGAGUAGCUGGGACUACAGCCCACAUAUGACAGUGGACAUAGAGGACAACGCAGAUAUAGAACAUUUCUUUUAUCACAGUAAGUUCUUUGGAUAACACUGCUCUAGCACAAUACUUUCUAAAAUGUGUCCCAUGAAUCACAGUGGUGAUCCGUAAGCUGUCACUGGUCUGCAACAAAAUAAGUACAAAUAUUGAGACUUUUUAGAACAUUUUAUGGCAACUUCACGUUGCUGCAACAUCCAAGUACAUGAUCACUUUUACAGUCAUUUUAGAAAUUUAGUAUUUUAGAAUUUAGUAAUUCAUUUUCAUUGUAUUUUACGUAAGUAUUAAUUAGCAAAAGAUUAGAAAGAAAGAAAAACAAGAGUUUGCUCACAGUGAAUACUUUGAGAAACACUACCCUUGGGUAUGUUUAGGUGGAAUUGCAAGAUCACAGUGUAUGCUUAUGUUCAACUUUAUUGGAUAAAUUCACUACGUUUUCCAAAAUUAUUGUGUCAAUAUUAUAUUCCCACCAUCAGAGUAUGAGAGUUUCCAUUGUUUUGCUGUUUCUCUGUCCCUGGCUUUUGUGUCCCUCAUUUUAGAUUUAAAUUUUGCCAGGUGAUGGAUGUGAAAUGGCAUGUUAUAAUUUUAAUUUACAGUUCCCCAAUUGCUAAUGAGAUAAAUAUAUUUUUAUAUGUAUAUAAUGCAUUCAUGAUUCUACUUUAGAUUCAUAGGGAUUCUUUUUAUGUUCUGAUACUGAUCUGCUUCUUAAGUGUGUUGCUAAUGUCUUCUCCAAAUUUGUGAUUUGUGUUGUCUUUGAUAAAUAGAAAUAGUUAAUUUUAACUUAGUAGAAAUUUUCUUAUUUUUGUGUGUGUGUGUGCGUGUAUUGUGUUUAAGAAAGUCUCCUAGAAUUCUUUUUUGUCUGUUUAAGUUUUAAAGCUUUAUCUUUCACAUUUAGGUCUUUAUACCCAUCUGCACCUUGAUUAAAUUUCCGUUCAGGGUUUGGGAUAAGGAUCUAAUUAUUUUUGCCUUCUUUGAUUAACAAUCCCUUCACUGCUUAUUGAAUAGGUUUUUCUUUUCUUUUUUUUUUUCUUUUUUUAUUUUGAGACAGAGUCUCGCUCUGUCUUCCAGGCUGGAGUGCAGGAGUGCAGUGGUGCCAUCGCUCCCUGCAACCUCCGCCUCCCGGGUUCAAGCGAUUCUCCUGCCUCAGCCUUCUGAGUAACUGGGACUACAUGCGCGUGCCACCACGCUCGGCUAAUUUUUUGUAUUUUUAGUAGAGAUGGGGUUUCACUGUGUUAUCCAGGAUGGUCUCGAUCUCCAGACCUCAUGACCCGCCCGCCUCGGCCUUCCAAAGUGCUGGGAUUACAGUCGUGUGCCACCGCGCUUGGCCGUUUAUUGAAUAGGUUUUUCUUUACCAUUGAUUUUCAGUGUCUACUUGGUCUUAUAAUUGUAUUUCCAUAUGUGUAUGGGUCAGCUUCUGAACUCACUAUUGUGUUGCAUUGGUGAAGUAGUUCUGAAUCUUCCCUUAAUUGCUGUAAGUUUAGAUAAGUCUUGGUAGUUGAUAAUGUAAGACAUGUCACAUAGUACUCUGUUAGAAAUUUCAUAAUCAGUUUGGCAUGUUCUAUAAGAAAUCUUGUGGGGAUUUUGAUUGGAAUUGAUCUAAUUAUUAUAAUUUAAUUUUAUGUCCAAGACCAUGGAAUACCUCUCCUUAUAUUUUACUCUACUUUAAUGUCUCUCAAAGUUUUGAAAUCUUCCCUGUAACUUUCUUAUGUGUAGUCUUGGUACUUUAAAAUUCAUUUUC
rnacentral:sRNA from 1 species